GGACUACAGGGGUUUCUAAUCCUGUUUGCUCCCCACGCUUUCGAGUCUUAGUGUCAGAAACCGUCCAGAUAGCCGCCUUCGCCACUGGUGUUCUUCCCAAUCUCUACGUAUUUCACCACUACACUGGGAAUUCCACUAUCCUCUCCGGUCCUCUAGCCGCCCAGUCCUGAAUGCAUUUCUUGAGUUGAGCUCAAGGCUUUCACAUCCAACUUGGACAACCACCUACACUCGCUUUACGCCCAGUAAUUCCGAACAACGCUAGCCCCCUUCGUCUUACCGCGGCUGCUGGCAC
rnacentral:rRNA from 1 species